AUGUACAUUCCUACAUCAUAGCGUUAAUGCAUCAGAUCCUAUUAGAACUACGUAGUUAAGAGCACUCAGGAUAGAGUAGUACUAGGAUGGGUGACCACCUGAGAAGUCCUAAUGCUUUACAUG
rfam:Picea glauca, whole genome shotgun sequence.